CUCCUCACCAAGAACUCCUGAACUUGAGAGUGGACGACUUCAAAGCUAGCUCUCACAGACUCACCUGGAAAAGAGUUCAGCUGCGCGUUCAUUGAACCGAGAGGCCAGAUCACCUAUGUGAGGCGGUGGGAACCAUAUGGAGAUUUAUAUUAGAACUUCAGCAAAGUGCACAGCUGCAGCCGGCAGAAGCCAGCUCUCGGGCUGACAGGCAAAUGAACCAGAUCGUGGACGGGGCCUCUGGGUGGCAGCUCCGGCCUUUUGGUUGUUGGACAACUAUAGUCAGAACUGAAAUGGAACAGGGGCAGGAGAAAUAACACACUUUUACUCCACGCAACUGUUGCUUUCACAUGAUCUUCAGGAAUGUAACUGGGAUAAUUGUCCAAAUUGAAUCCCAUACCCUGUCAUGCAUACCAGAAUAGGAGUCCUGUCUUAACUGAGCAAUAUACACUAUGGAGAGAUCCUUCAAAACCCGUCGGGACGAAUAACAGAUGAAUUCAUAAAACUGUUCAUCUCUGUUAUCCUGAAUGGUCACUCAGACAACAUUUUACUCAACUAUAAAGGGGAACACUUAAAGUGCAUAUGAGAAGAGAAGAGAAUGACCACAGGAGAAAAUCAUCUCAGGGAGAAGCAUAUUGUGUGAUGUUCUAUAUUUAUGAGACCCAUAGCAAACUGUGAAGAGAUAACAGAAUGCUUUUUGCGUGAGCUGAAACAGUAGAUGAAAUCUUUCAUUAAAAUUACUCAUACUUUGGGUCCUAUUCUUAUUUAUAAAUAAAUAUUAUUGCAAACAUUU
rnacentral:lncRNA from 1 species